rnacentral:rRNA from 1 species
GGGCCCGCACAAGCGGUGGAGCAUGUGGUUUAAUUCGAUGAUACGCGAGGAACCUUACCAGGGCUUAAAUGUAGUCUGACAGGGGUGGAAACACCCCUCCUUCGGCAGAUUACAAGGUGCUGCAUGGUUGUCGUCAGCUCGUGCCGUGAGGUGUCAGGUUAAGUCCUAUAACGAGCGCAACCCCUAUUUCUAGUUGCCAGCGGUUCGGCCGGGGACUCUAGAGAAACUGCCAGCGUAAGCUGUGAGGAAGGUGGGGAUGACGUCAAAUCAUCACGGCCCUUACGUCCUGGCCACACACGUGCUACAAUGGCAGUGACAAUGGGUUAAUCCCAAAAAGCUGUC